UACGACUACAUAUCAGGCAUAUCAAUAAGCGGAGGAAAAGAAACUAACAAGGAUUCCCCUAGUAACGGCGAGUGAAGCGGGAAGAGCUCAAAUUUGAAAUCUUCAAGGGUUCUACCUUUACGAAUUGUAGUUUAAAGAAGUGUUUUCUGUUAGAUGAGUUAGGCUAAAAGUUCCUUGGAAUAGGGACAUCAUAGAGGGUGAGAAUCCCGUAUUUGGUUAUUCAUUCUAGCUGUGUGAUACACUUUCAAAGAGUCGGAUUGUUUGGGAAUGCAGUCCAAAGAUGGGUGGUAAAUUUCAUCUAAAGCUAAAUAUUGGCGAGAGACCGAUAGCGAACAAGUACCGUGAGGGAAAGAUGAAAAGAACUUUGAAAAGAGAGUUAAACAGUACGUGAAAUUGUCAAAAGGGAAGCGUUUGACACCAGUGUUGUUUUUCCAAAAAUCAAUUACGAAUGGCUUGAUUUUGUGUUGUAUUGACCUUAUCAGCUUUCUUCACUUUUUUCGAGUCUUUCUUAAUGCACUUUUUGGUUAACAAGUCAACAUCAAUUUCUUUUGUUGUAAAAGAGUAUUCGGAAGGUGGCUUUCUUUUCGGAGAAAGUGUUUAUAGCCCUAUACUUCUACAAUCGGAGAGAUUGAGGUCUGCAGCGUAGAUCCUUCGGGGUUAGAUACACUUUGUGCUAAGUUGUAGCUUUUCAUAGACAACUUGUUGACUAUGUUUAGUCAUGCGGCUUACUCGCUUAUGCUAUUUUACCUACGCUUAGGAUGUUGAGUAGCGACAUACGCAC
rnacentral:rRNA from 1 species